rnacentral:rRNA from 1 species
GACGAACGCUGGCGGCGUGCUUAACACAUGCAAGUCGAACGGAAAGGCCCUGCUUUUGUGGGGUGCUCGAGUGGCGAACGGGUGAGUAACACGUGAGUAACCUGCCCUUGACUUUGGGAUAACUUCAGGAAACUGGGGCUAAUACCGGAUAGGAGCUCCUGCUGCAUGGUGGGGGUUGGAAAGUUUCGGCGGUUGGGGAUGGACUCGCGGCUUAUCAGCUUGUUGGUGGGGUAGUGGCUUACCAAGGUUUUGACGGGUAGCCGGCCUGAGAGGGUGGCCGGCCCCCUUGGGACUGCGGUACGGCCCAGACUCCUACGGGAGGCAGCAGUGGGGAAUAUUGCACAAUGGGCGGAAGCCUGAUGCAGCAACGCCGCGUGCGGGAUGACGGCCUUCGGGUUGUAAACCGCUUUCGCCUGUGACGAAGCGUGAGUGACGGUAAUGGGUAAAGAAGCACCGGCUAACUACGUG